AAGACCCUGGUAGACGCUGGUCACGUGAUCUGCUAAAAUCUAGCUGAGGUAUUCAAUAAAUAUUUGAUAUUUGGAUAAUUUUUAGUUUAAUUUUUAAUUUGCUUUUUGUACGAUUGUCGUAAAGGAAUCCAAGAUAGUUAAUUAGAAAUCUGCUAGAUUUUAGCAGAUCACGUGACCAGUGUCUACCAGGGUCUU